UCAGCUGCACAUACAUCUGGGCUCAUCCUCUUGCCUGAUCAAGUCCCAUCUCUCUCUCCCUUAAAGCCUCUUCCUCUCCAUAAGCCACUUGCUCGAGGAUCUUAGGCUUAAAUGAACCAGAGAGACUCCACCACCCUGCGCCACCUGCAUCAAAUGUGGUUGCUCUGCAGAGCUAUGGGAGGCAUCUUUGAUUCCAGAAAACAGGUGGGGGCUGCCAUAGGCUCUGUGUGGUUUGCAGAGCUGACCACAGGCUCUGCUUGGCAGAGAGAACACAAUGCUAAGGGGAGCCCAAGAUGCCAAGGUUUGCAGUGCCUCCUGGCUGCAGCGCCUCCUGGUAGACUGAGCUCGGACAAUGGGUUUUGUUCUCAAUGGCCUCAGUUUCCCCAGAAAGAAAAAGGGGCUCUCCCAGAA
rnacentral:lncRNA from 1 species